rnacentral:rRNA from 1 species
AGCAGCCGCGGUAAUUCCAGCUCCAAUAGCGUAUAUUAAAGUUGUUGCAGUUAAAAAGCUCGUAGUUGAAUUUCGAGGUUAGUAGGUUGGUCAUGCCUCUGGUAUGUACUGGUCUCACUGAUUCCUCCUUCCUUAUGAACCGUAAUGCCAUUAAUUUGGUGUUGCGGGAAAUUUGGACUGUUACUUUGAAAAAUUAGAGUGUUUAAAGCAAGCUAACGCUUGAAUACAUUAGCAUGGAAUAAUGAAAUAGGACGUUCGAUCUUAUUUGUUGGUUUCUAGGAUUGACGUAAUGAUUAAUAGGGAUAGUUGGGGGCAUUAGUAUUCAAUUGUCAGAGGUGAAAUUCUUGGAUUUAUUGAAGACUAACUACUGCGAAAGCAAUUUGCCAAGGAUGUUUU